rnacentral:rRNA from 1 species
AAAACUUUAACAACGGAUCUCUUGUUCUGCAUCGAUGAAGAACCACGAAAUGAUAAGUAAUUGAAUUGCAGAAUUCAGUGAAUCAUCGAAUCUUUGAACCACAUUGCGCCGCCAGCAUUCUGCGGCAUCCUGUUCGAGCUCAAUCAAGCCCAGCUUGUGUUGGCCCUACGUCGACGUAGCCCUUAAAGUAGUGCGACCCUCCCGGAGCCUCCUUGCGUAGUAACUUAACGUCUCGCACUGGGAUCCGAGGACCUUGCCGUAAAACCCCAAAACUUUACAGUUACUCGAUCAGUAGGAAUACCCGCUGAACUUAAGCAUAUCAAUAAGGAGAAAAGAAACCAACAGGGAUUGCCCCAGUAACGGCGAGUAAGGGCAACAGCUCAAAUUUGAAAUCUGCCCCAGCCCGUUGUAAUUUCAGGACUUUUGCGCGGGCCUUCCGAGUCCCUGAACGGACGCAGAGGGUGAAGCCCCGUACUUGGACACCAAGCCUUUGAAAGCUCCUUCGACGAUCGAUAGUUGGAAUGCUGCUCAAAAUGGAGUAUAUUUCUUCUAAAGCUAAAUAUAGGCCAGAGACCGAUAGCGCACAAGUAGAGUAUCAAAGAUGAAAAGCACUUUGAAAAGAGGGUUAAACAGCACUAAAUGUUAAAAGAAGCGCUUUGACCAGACUGCGUCCGUGAAUCACCCAGCUCUCGCGGCUGGGCACUUCGCCGCACGCCAGCAUCAGCUGCCUCGGGACAAAAGCUUCAGGAACGUAGCUCUCUUCGGGAUUUAUAGCCGUCAUAAUACCCUCGGCUGGAUGGUACGCCUCCGCAAGAUGCUGGUAAUGUCAUCAGCACCCGUUUGAAACACGACCAAGAGUCAACCUUAUGUGCGGUUUGGUGUUUAAACCCCUACGCUAAUGAAAGUGAACGCAGGUGAGACUUCGGCGCAUCAUCGACCAUCCUGAUUUCUCGGAUGAUUGAGUAAAGCAUUAUGGUUGGACCCGAAAGAAUGAACUAUGCGUGUAGGUGAAGCCAGAGGAAAACUCUGGUGAGGCUCCACGGUUCUGACGUGCAAAUCGAUCGUCAAACAUGCGCAUGGGCGAAAGACUAUCGAACCUUCUAGUAGCUGGUUUCCGCCGAAGUUUCCCUCAGGAUAGCAUGUGAACUCAGUUUAUGAGUAAAGCGAAUGAUAGGACCGGGCGCUAUAUGCCUUCAUCCAUUCUCAAACUUAAAUAUGUAAGACCCUUUGCUUAAUUGAACGGGCAUUCGAAUGUAUCAACACUAGUGGCCAUUUUGUAAGCAGAACUGGCAUCGGAUAACCGAACGCGAGUUAAGGCCAGAAGUCGCUCAUCAACACCACAAAAGUUAGUACAUCUUGACAGCAGACGUGCCAUGGAAGUGGAAUCCGCUAAGACGUAACAACUACCUGCCGAAUGACUAGCCCUGAAAAUGAUGGCGCUCAACGACUCACCCAUACCUCGCCCUCAGUGUAGAAACGAUGCGCUGAGAGUAGGCGACGUGACCAGACGAAGCCUAGGCGUGACCGGUAGAACGCCUCAGUGCAGAUCUUGGUAUAGCAAAUACUUCAAUGAGAACUUGAAGACCGAAUGGGAAAGUUCCAUGUGAACAGCGUGACAUGGGUUAGUCAUCCUAAGCCAUAGGAAGUUCCUUUCAAAGGCACUUGUGCCCCGUAUGCGAAAGGAAGCCGUCAAUAUUCCGCACCGAUGGGUUUUCGCGCAACGCAACUGAACGCGACGACGCGGGCCCGGCAGAUUCUCUUUUCUUAACAGUCUAUCACCCUGAAAUCGUUUCCGAGCUAGGUUUAACGGCUGAAAGCCCAGCACUUCUGUUGGCGGUCGCUCUCGACGUCCCUUGAAAAUCCGCGGAAGAAUAAUUCUCACGCCAGGUCGUACUCAUAACCGCAGCAGUCUCCAAGUGAACAGCCUCUGUUGAUAGAAACAAUGUAGAUAAGGAAGUCGGCAAAACAGAUCCGUAACUUCGGAUAAGGAUUGGCUCUAAGGUUGGGUACGUUGGCUUUAGGCGGACGGCUCCGGGAGCAGGUCGCCACUAGCCGGGCAACCGGCCGGAGGCUUCCAGCAUCUGGGUUCUGACCCUUUAGCAGCUUCGCCGUCCGGCGUACGGUUAACAACCAACUUAAACUGUACGACAAGGGAAUCUGACUGUCUAAUUAAAACAUAGCAUUGCGAUGGCCAGAAAGUGGUGUUGACGCAAUGUGAUUUCUGCCCAGUGCUCUGGAAUGUCAAAGUGAAGUAAUUUCAACCAAGUGCGGCGUAAACGGCGGGAGUAACUAUGACUCUCUUAAAGGUAGCCAAAUGCCUCGUCAUCUAAUAGUACGCGCAUGAAUGGAUCAACGAGAUUCCCACUUGCCCUAUCUAACUAUCUAGCGAAACCACACCAAGGAACGGGCUUGCAGAAUCAGCGGGAAAGAAGACCCCUGUGAGCUUGACUCUAGUUUAACAUUGUGAAAAGACAUAGGAGGUGUAAAUAGUGAGCUUCGGCGCCGUGAAAUACCACUACUCCUAUUGUUUUUUACUUAUUCAAUAAAGCGGGGCUGGAUUUACGUCCAACUUCUGGUUAUAAGGUCCUUCGCGGCCGACCGGGUGAAGACAUUGUCAGGUGGGGAGUUUGCGCUGGCAGCACAUUCUGUUAAACCAUAACGCAGGUGUCCUAAGGGGGCUGCAUGGAGAACAGAAAUCUCCAGUAGAAAAAAAGGGUAAAAGUCCCCUUGAUUUUGAUUUUCAGUGUGAAUACAAACCAUGAAAGUGUGGCCUAUCGAUCCUUUAGUCCCUCCGAAAUUUGAAGGCUAGAGUGCCAGAAAAGUUACCACAGGAUAACUGCUUGUGCGGCCAAGCGUUCAUAGCGACGUCGCUUUUGAUCCUUCGAUGUCCGCUCUUCCUAUCAUACCGAAGCAGAAUUCCGGUAAGCGUUGAUUGUUCACCCACUAAUAGGGAACGUGAGCUGGGUUUAGACCGUCGUGAGACAGGUUAGUUUUACCCUACUGAUGACCUCGUCGCAAUGGUAAUUGAGCUUAGUACGAGAGGAACCGCUCAUUCAGAUAAUUGGUUUUUGCGGCUGUCCGACCGGGCAGUGCCGCGACGCUACCAUCUCUGAUAAUGGCUGAACGCCUCUAAGUCAGAAUCCAUGCCAGAACGCGACGAUACCUCCCGCACGUACAGAUGGACACGAAUAGGCUUCGGCUUAGCGUCUUAGCAGGCGAUUACUCCACUGCUCUCGAAGCGAGUAGUGGUAUUUCGCGAAUUGUAAUUUCAGCACGAGCGGGUUAAAUCCUUUGCAAGACGACUUAGAUGUGCGACAAGGUCCUGUAAGCCAGUAGAGUAGCCUUGUUGUUACGAUCUGCUGAGGGUAAGCCCUCCUU